AAUAUAGCGCCUGGACUGCGAUCGCAGUUGACGAGGAUCGGGUAUUUAUCGAAAGAUUCGGCGGAUGACCCGAAGGCUGGAUACGGCCUGAGCAAUGGGAAAAAACAGUUCGUGAGAGCUGAACAGAU
rnacentral:ncRNA from 1 species